rnacentral:rRNA from 1 species
GAUGAACGCUGGCGGCGUGCCUAAUACAUGCCAGUCGAGCGAACAGACGAGGAGCUUGCUCCUCUGACGUUAGCGGCGGACGGGUGAGUAACACGUGGAUAACCUACUUAUAAGACUGGGAUAACUUCGGGAAACCGGAGAUAAUACCGGAUAAUAUAUUGAACCGCAUGGUUCAAUAGUGAAAGACGGUUUUGCUGUCACUUAUAGAUGGAUCCGCGCCGCAUUAGCUAGUUGGUAAGGUAACGGCUUACCAAGGCAACGAUGCGUAGCCGACCUGAGAGGGUGAUCGGCCACACUGGAACUGAGACACGGUCCAGACUCCUACGGGAGGCAGCAGUAGGGAAUCUUCCGCAAUGGGCGAAAGCCUGACGGAGCAACGCCGCGUGAGUGAUGAAGGUCUUCGGAUCGUAAAACUCUGUUAUUAGGGAAGAACAAAUGUGUAAGUAACUAUGCACGUCUUGACGGUACCUAAUCAGAAAGCCACGGCUAACUACGUG